rnacentral:tRNA from 1 species
UUAGCUCAAUGGUUGAGCGUUGGCUUUGAGAGCCACAGGUCGGUGGUUCGAACCCGCCA